GUCUGGGUGGCUAAGUCAGUUAAGCAUCUGACUUUGGCUCGGGUCACAAUCUUGCUGUUUGUGGGUUCAAACCCCUCAUUGGACU
rnacentral:tRNA from 1 species